GGGGACUCGGAAAGUCCAGAGUUUUUGUGAGUCAAAUCUCGUUUGUCUUCAUGAGAAAUACUUUUAGGAUAGGCCGUGACAAUGUAAGUCGGGAAAGAAUUUGUCAGAAGUCUCCCAGAAAACGGCUGUUUGUUAAAAGAAUGCGUUUAGAUCUUUGCUGAAGAUCAGCCCCAGGAACAGCACUGGAGUAGAAUGGCACAUCUGGAAAUAGGUCUGUUAAUGGAGUACUAUGGGAGAAUCCCGCACUUCUUGAAGCUAGGUAUCUCAUGCCAUGGAAAGUUCUGAAGAGUAAAACUAUGCAAAAUUUCAUGGAAAAAAAAAGGUGGAAAACCCUCCGUCAUGUUACCAUGACAUAGCAUUAAGAUAACUCACAUUUUUGAUUCCAAAAAACCAAUAUCAUGAUGAGAGGAGAACAUCUCAUUUAUUGCAGAAAUACUUGACAAGACCUCAAAUGUUACUAAACUCUCAGUUUGGAAAGGUGUAGCAAUACUUACAGAAGGUUUAUGUCAAAUUUAAUCUUGACCAUUUCCUGAGUAAGCAGAAAUAAUAAUCGGGCAAGCCAAGAUCUCCGGGAUUUCCUGAGAAAACUCUGAACAGCACAACUAUGUAGUAUGGAAUUGACCCAACAGACGAGGCAAAGGCUGUUCAGUGAGAGAGUAAGCAUCCCAAGAACUACUAUACGUAUUAUUCGGUAUUUAAUAUUUCCUCAUUUGAAUAGGUGUAUGAUUGUCACACUUGUAUUAAAAUGUUUUUUGCUUGAGUGAGAACAGUUUAUUGAGCAAUCCAGAUUACUCUGUGUGGCUGCCUUAUCUCCACUCCUCAUGUCUCACUUUGUGCUCUAAGAAACUCGUCCAGAAGUGAUUUUGUAUUUCAUUCUGAGUCCUUGACAAAAUAUUUAAUAGCAUCAGGCCUAUCAAUGGUUUGCAGUCUUUUGAGAAAUGUCUAUUAGAUGAUGAUUCUUUACCCUUGCUUUUUGAGAUCUGUCAGCUAGGUAGUUCCUAAUUUGUUAAGGAUGUGCUUGAUUAAGCCAACGUACUGAUACAUGUUAAACUGGAAUAUCAGAUAGUAUUCACCUUACAAAUGUUUCAUGAUGUAUCUAUAUUUUUAGUUAAAUUUAUAAUGGCAUAAAAAUUAAAUAAUAAAAAAUUGAAUAAAUUUGGU